rnacentral:rRNA from 1 species
GACGAACGCUGGCGGCGUGCCUAACACAUGCAAGUCGAGCGGGAAGCUUCCGAAUUGAGAUUUCGGUUGAUUUUUGGAAGUGGAGAGCGGCGGACGGGUGAGGAACACGUGGGGAACCCAUCCAGGCGCGGGGGAUAACCGCGGGAAACCGCGGGUAAUACCGCAUGGGCUUGGUCUCUGGUAGGGAGAGCGAGCAAAGGAGCGAUCUGUGCUUGGCGGGGCCUGCGGCCUAUCAGCUAGAUGGCGGGGUAGUGGCCCACCAUGGCGAUGACGGGUAGCUGGUCUGAGAGGACGAUCAGCCACACGGGGACUGAGACACGGCCCCGACUCCUACGGGAGGCAGCAGCAAGGAAUUUUCCGCAAUGGGCGCAAGCCUGACGGAGCGACGCCGCGUGGGGGAUGACGCUUUUCGGAGUGUAAACCCCUUUUCUGGGGGAUGAAGACAGUGACAGUACCCCAGGAAGAAGGACCGGCUAACUACGUGCCAGCAG